UCUCUCUCUCUCUGUAGCUCUCUGUAUCUCUCUCUCUCUCUAGCUCUCUGUAUCUCUCUCUCUCUCUCUCUAGCUCUCUGUAUCCCCCCCCCUCUCCCUCCCUCCCUGUGACACUCCAUCAGCCUGACUGAAUCGGACCUCAGCUUCUUCUCCCCCGUUACCCAGACCUCACAGCGCACACUGGGACCUUCCAGAAUGCUGGCUUUUAAAAAAACCUGGAGUCCCUCAGGACCUGGGGGUCACACCAUUGAACCUCAGAGUGACCGUACUGAUCAGGGAUCAGCGUCGUCGCCUGUUAGAUAACAGGAAGUACAACUUUCCAAGCAACUGUGUCUCUCUCUUCACCGUUACAGAGGAACCGUAGCGUUUAAAACCCGUCGACCUUCGACAGCCUCACACUGGGGACUCCUUACAAACGUCUCCACACAGAACACGUCUCCAUACAGCCAUUAAACAUUAAACAACACGUUAACGUUUAACUGAUCUCACAUCAGUAUGUCUCUCUCUUAAGAUUUCACUGUUCAGACCUCUGCACGAGGGUACGGGAUGUUUGCUCCAGCAAACGGUGCUUUUACUUGUAGAGAUAUUUUUGGAUAUUUAUGUGACUGAUGGUACAGGUGUUAAAUAAUACAGGUACGGAGGAAAGUCCUCGUCAAUCCGAUGCAUAAUUCAGUCUUCUCUGUCGAUGGUACACAGUUUCUGUUAUCGCAGUGUUUUUCUACCAGAUCUGACACAUUUCCAGCGUAAACACGUACAUCAUGGGUGGACAAAUCAGUGUACUGCUCAGUCCUGUGCUAACUAAUGUGCUACGGUAAGUGGCAGCUAAGCUAAUAUAAUAAAGUAUGUGAAUUAAUACAGACAAAAACAAGAGUAAAAAUUCACAACCAGAAAUUCACGACGUUCGGGAAAAUUCAGUACCAAAAAAAAAAAAAUCGGUCAGUAUUUUAAAAUAAUACCAGACUCAACCGUUCACCCGCAAUUCGUACAAUUUUUUUUAUUUAUUUAAUUAUUUUUUUUUGUGCUUUUUAUUACUUUUAAAUCGCUUAUUGAUUUCAUUUAGACUCAUUUAAUGAAUAUUUAUUUUAAUGACAUUCGGACAUUAAAAAUGUAUUUAAUCAGGACAAAAUAAAUUGGGGGGGGGGGGGUAACAGGUUCUGUAGGCGUCACCAAAUAUAAACCAACUGGUUCGAGAUCACGCUUGAAAUUUUCUCAAGUUUUUGACGAUCAAAACGUGAACAGAAAUUUUACAAAUUAUUUACGAUUUUUUUUUUUUUUAGAAUUAUGUUAGAAUUGAAAUCCUUCAAAUUCUUUGAUUUGUUUUUUAGUGAAACCCUUUUUACUUUUAGUAAAAAAUUAGCCUUUUUAAAGCCUUUAACGUUAUUGACCGCAUCUUCUCAUCCGAGGUUUGCAGUGUUUUUUAACGUAUAAAUAAAAAAAUCGUUUUUUUUUCCCUGGUUGUUGAACCUAGUAACUAAAACAUCUCCGCCUUGGAACCUUCUCGUCCUGGUCUACUGAUUUGUUCACCCUUGACUCGUCCGAGCCGCUGUCGUAGCUCCUCUGUCUGACUCGACGACUACCUACAGCUACCUACGGCACACACGAUCGCUGCUAUAGACACGAGGGCACGACGGCGUAAAAAGCCUUUUGCAAUAUUCCUUCGUUCUUCAUACGGUGUGAUGAAAUCCGUUAUUUUUGUCACGGUCGAUCUUAUCACGCGUACCUGAGGUUUUCACCUAUCCGCGAUGUAGAGGGUUACUUGUAGCUACCACCUGUAAUUAUAACACAACUCAUUUAGACACACACACACACACACUACAGUUUCUGUGAUCUCCCACAUGGUACGAAACUCAUGUUGAGGUUCAUGUGACACUGCAGGUAACACGACACCUGAGAAGAAUCAGGUUACCCGUGUUGAUCGCUUCAUGGCUCUGAAAUCUAUUUCACCUCCCAUGAAACACACUUUGUUCUAAUCCUUUGGUAAAUGUGUAAAUGAUUCCAAGGGUCAGGAGCUUGGAUCCUACAACCACUGCAGCGCCCGACGCCUUAAACGGGGAAAUAGCUUCCUCACGCGAUUACUGUAGGGGAAGAAAAUCGUUAAAUGUGACCUAACGGUCAUCAGUAGCAUCAGAGCGUUUGUUGACGGUUCAAUUUUGUAUGGAAAGUUUUACAGAAUCCUGUUCAUUUAGAAAGUUGCAAACGAACAUCGCUUUAGAUUAAUACGCCAGCUGGCUAGCGGUCUGAACCCGGACGCGUCCGACUGAACCUGCAGUAGAAGCGUUUCUUUAGCGGUCUACGAUUUACGCUGCGACGCUCUUCGACCUGAGAAGCCGGUACACGUUUGCAACUUUUUUCUUUUUCUUUUUCUUAAAAAAAAAAAUCUUAUUUAUUAUUUUUUUUUAAAUUUCAAAUUAUUUUUGCAUUACAAUUUUUUCCUCUGACCUGCUCUCAGUGUCUAUAAGAAUUAAGACAAAAAUGUUUAGCGUUAUUAUAAAGUCUCAGUGUCAUAUUUGCUGCUGAUGGGUGAAAAUGCAUCAAGGACGAUCUGUAAAUUAUUGAUAAUAAAUGUGCCACUUGUGUAUUUUGUGUAAUUAAUUAAGUUUUUUUGGGUUUUUUUUUUUUGUUUUUUUGCCUUGUGCCUUGAUAUACAGUCCACAUGGGGAUCGGAAAUGUCUUCUGAUUUUAAAUGUUUGUUCCAAACUGUAGCUUGUAUAAUCUGUACGUUUUGGGGGGAAGAUUUCAACUCAUGGUGAAAAUAAAACGGCGAACGAAGUGUUUAGGUAACGAGUGCAGACGUAACUUACUCUGGGAAAUUUUUUGUAUCUUCACGUAUCCGGUCUGAACCCUAACUUGUCUUCCGCUGUAUAUACUGUAUUGUAAAAAAAAUAAAAAUUAGUAACACACA